AUUCUCAUCGUCAAAAGUUGGAAUCAAACUUUAUGCAAGUGGACGAAUCGGAGAGUACCAAAAUUGAGGUUUCUGAUUUUCAAGAGGCCGUUACCCCUAUGGAAGAUUAGAAUCUUAGACAUAAACUAUUUUUCUAGUUGAAAUUUAGACAUUGGGGCCGAAUUCCACCUAAUGGCCAAACCCCCUUGUGUUUUGGUUAAUUUUGAACAAUUUUUCU
rnacentral:lncRNA from 1 species